GCAAGUCGGACGGUAGCACAGAGGAGCUUGCUCCUUGGGUGACGAGUGGCGGACGGGUGAGUAAUGUCUGGGGAUCUGCCCGAUAGAGGGGGAUAACCACUGGAAACGGUGGCUAAUACCGCAUAACGUCGCAAGACCAAAGAGGGGGACCUUCGGGCCUCUCACUAUCGGAUGAACCCAGAUGGGAUUAGCUAGUAGGCGGGGUAAUGGCCCACCUAGGCGACGAUCCCUAGCUGGUCUGAGAGGAUGACCAGCCACACUGGAACUGAGACACGGUCCAGACUCCUACGGGAGGCAGCAGUGGGGAAUAUUGCACAAUGGGCGCAAGCCUGAUGCAGCCAUGCCGCGUGUAUGAAGAAGGCCUUCGGGUUGUAAAGUACUUUCAGCGGGGAGGAAGGCGAUGCGGUUAAUAACCGCGUCGAUUGACGUUACCCGCAGAAGAAGCACCGGCUAACUCCGUGCCAGCAGCCGCGGUAAUACGGAGGGUGCAAGCGUUAAUCGGAAUUACUGGGCGUAAAGCGCACGCAGGCGGUCUGUUAAGUCAGAUGUGAAAUCCCCGGGCUUAACCUGGGAACUGCAUUUGAAACUGGCAGGCUUGAGUCUCGUAGAGGGGGGUAGAAUUCCAGGUGUAGCGGUGAAAUGCGUAGAGAUCUGGAGGAAUACCGGUGGCGAAGGCGGCCCCCUGGACGAAGA
rnacentral:rRNA from 1 species